CCUGGCGAGCGAACGCGCGCGCGCCCCACGCAGCGCGGGACCCGGCCAGCAGCCGGCGCAGCGCUCCCCGGCCGCCAAGGCGAAAUGGAAACUGAAGACUUGGCAUCAUUUUAAAUUCCAGAAAUGUGGGAGAAAACAAAGCCAACAAAAGAUUCUUCCGGUUUUGCCUGGAUUUCAGUUAUAGUUCUUGGGCACUGAAUGACAGUAUCCACCAACAUAAAAAAAGACUCUAGAUAUUUUGAUAGAGGUUCAUUGCUCUGCAUAUCAAGGUCAACCCCAAAGAUUGCUUUGGCCUAGAUUCCUUGCCGAUUCCUUGGAUGCUAUUUCGGUCCUUUCUGCUGUAUAUGCAACUUUCAAAAUGUUGCUUAUUAUGAACGGGAAGUCUUUGGGCUUUUGUUUCUGAACUUACUUCAUU